GGGCAGGGACGGGGCGCGACCUGGACAACCGCGGUCGCUGUCCGUGGCGCCGCUGGGCCUGCGACUAGGUGGCAUCCUUCGGACACUAUAGGCCGUUUCUGCACACGUGAUGCGGGGCUCAGUCACGUUUCCCCCUGGAGGCUUGAGGAUGCGCCAGUGUGAGCGUCUGGAGUCCUGACUGUCCCAGCCAGCCCAGCCACGAUGAGCUGUCUAAGAGGAUGUGUAUGAAAGUUUUCAAGACGCCUACAAGUGGAAAAUGCACUCCUCCCAGCCAAAUCAAGCUUUGCCAGAUUCCUUACAGCUGUGUGCAGUGAAAUGACUAAUGAAAGAGCCCUCCGCUGCUGGUGGAACUUUCACAUAUGGCACUGCUGUGCCACUCAGCAGGACCUGACCCUGGUAUUUACAUAUUGGAUGUCACCCCAAAAGCCCCUGACACGGGGGUUUCCGGGAUGUAAUAAGAAUGCCACUCUGGGCUUUGGAAGGUGCACCGUAUGCACACCCAUACUAUAGGGCAGAGAUUAGCAUUUCAGACCCCCAUUCCUCCCUCAACAAGCAAGUGCUUUUCCCCAGGGAGGACGUUCAGAUUCAUUCAUAGAUCCAUUGGUGCCAUGGGCAGCUCAGUAACAGUAGCUCUGCUGCCUACCAGCUGCUGGUAGAGGUGUUGAGAAUACCUAGAUGAGGAAGUCAGCUGCUGGUGGAGGUGUUGAGAAUACCUAGAUGAGGAAGUCAGGGCCCCUGCGUGCUUGAGCAGAGCUGGAUGCCUGGCAUGGCAAUGGACACAAACCCUUGGAUAAUUUCCAUCCUUGGCGGUGUGUUCUGUAGCAUAGGUGUGAAGCGGGUGCUCUGCGAGCUCGGAAGAGGGGCUCUUAACUUAUGGGUGGCCAGGGAAGGCUUCCUGGAGCUCAGAUGACUGAGUGGAGUCUUCAACAUUAAAAAAUAAAAAGUGCUCACCCCCACCCCCAGUUAAAAAGGUAAUACACCUAAUUGAAAUAAUUUAAACUUUACAGAAAUGGGUUCCUUUAAAGUUCAGAGAGUAAAGAGGAAGUAAUAAAGCUCAAAUCAUAGAAUGUCUAAUUAACUGCAGCCUGUAACUUUCUUCCUGAAAAGGGAGUGGUGUGUGUGCAUGUGUGAGUGUGUGUAGGUGAAUCUGUAAAGGAUGGAGUAGUACUAAAAAGAGGGAGGUGAAGACGGAGGUGAGAUCUCAUCUUUGUGCCCUGAACCUCUUUGUUAUAAUGUCAGGCAAGGAGAGAAAUCAAUACUCAUCCUCUAUGGGACUCUGGCUUUUUCAAACUUGGUUUGCCAGGUUUUGGUCUUGGUUGUUGAUGGCUUGUAACUUCAGAGUCUCAUUGCUGGCCAUGCUUCCAAGUGGUUUAUUAAGAAGUUUUCCUAAACAAAAUUGAUCUCUCCCUAAAAAAGUUAUAGGUCUAGCUGUGAGAUGUUAACAAUAUUUAGCCUGCUACAAUACCAAUAAGAGUUCCCAUUUACUGAAGACUUUCUUUGUACCAGCUGUGUGCUAAGAGCGUUAUAUUUGUUACCUCAUAACAUCAACCCUCACACCAACCUUACGAAGCAGGUAUUUCAUUCAUCCCAGAUAAAGGAAGCUAGGAUUAUUACUGCUGCACCCACAUAGCUGAUAAUCAGUGGGGCUUGGCCCCAAACCCAGGUCUCUGACUCCUACGUCUAUGCUUACGAACGUACCAUUUCUGUGCAGUAUUUCUCAAACAUAUUUGGCUACAGGAACAUUUUCAAAAGUGAACACCACUUACUUCUUAGUACUGUUAUUAGCAUUUCAUGGAACACAAUUUGGGAAAUACUGCCCCAGGAAAAUACUGCCCUGUCUUUAAAAUAGUGAUAAUAAUACAAUCUCCAUAUUGCGAUGAUUAAAAGACGUUUCAGGAAAUGGGUGCUGAGGAUACUUACUUUCCACCAGGAAUGUGUGUGUGCUUUAAAAAUAACAUUCGUGGCCGGGCACAGUGGCUUACGCCUGUAAUCCUAGCAAUUUGUGAGGCCGAGGCAGGUGGAUGGCGUGAGUCCAGAAGUUUGAGAUCAGCCUGGGCAACAUGGUGAAACCCUGUCUCUACUAAAAAUACAAAAAUUACUCGGGUAUGGUGGUGCAUGUCUGUGGUCCCAGCAAUUCGGGAGGCUGAGGUGGGAGGAUCGCUGGAGUCUAGGGCGUGGAGGUUGCAGUGAGCCAAGAUGACAUCGCUGUACUCCGGCCUGGGCAACGGAGUGAGACCUUGUCUCUCUCUCAAAUAAUAAUAAUAAUAAUAAUAAUAAUAAUAAUAGUAUAACAUUUGUAAUGUCCUCAGUGAAAGGAAGCAGUGUUUUGGCCAGGAUGAUAAUGAAGAUAUUGUUACUGGGCUGGAAGACCCUUGGGCCCUGUGGGGGAGGGCCUUGUAAGCUGCCACUGCCUCCCUUCCACAGGUGCCCCUUUGGUCCCCUUCCCUCCCCUCUGCCCUCUGGUUCUCUCCAUCAUCCCUCUGUAGUGCUCGUCUUUGUUCAGGAUGAUGCUCUGUUUGCCUGCCUCUGGGCAGGGGCCUUGCUCUAAACCACGCUGCUGCCUACUCAGGCCAGCCCAGGAUGUCUGCUUUGCAAAUUUGGACUGUUCUGAGCCCCAGCUGUAGGCCAGGGGUCUGUGACAUAUUGGGCAGACCACCCACAGCCCAGCUGCUGCCAUUGCUCAGCCUACAUAUUCCCAGAGAGCACAUCAUCACCCACAACAUCUCACCGACAGACCCUGCCUUUAGAGACAAUGACCAACCUAGGUGAGCCUGGUUGGCUCUACCUCCCUGGACAUUGAUUUGGACAGCUCACCGACUCCCAAAGGAGCCAGUCUUUGGGCCUGGUUGGCUCCCAACCUACUCCCUGCCCCAUUGGUUUGCUACAGGGGCCCGGCAGUCCCAAAUCAUGACAUUCCUUUUCUUCCAUGCACCGGUUUUGCCCAGCUGUCCUUUUUUCUUUCAUAAUUUCAUCAGUCCCACAGAUAUGCACAUUUGGGCAAAAAUACUAGGAACAAAACAGACAAACAAAAACAGGCCCUCAACCCAGCUCCUGAAGACCAGUUAGAAAGAGCAUUUGCAUUCUUCUCAGUAAAUAUCAAGCACACUAAAAAAGAAAACAAAUUAUUUCACUUACGUUCUCACUUGCACCUGUGAGGGAGCCAUUGUUACUGUCAUUUCAUGCAUGGAAAGGCGGGGGGGUCACAGAGGUCAGCUGAUUUGCCUAACGUUGCAGAGCUGAAAGCACCAAAGUCAGGACCAGAAUAAUUAUCCAGUGUUUGUCCCUCUGCCAAGUGCUGCCCCUUGGACUUGGGGCCCUCAGGCCAUCAAGACUGGGGCCCUUUGCUCCUGGAGGGUCCCAAAUUGAUAGCGUAAGGCUGGUUCCGAUCGAGUCCGACAUGCUGCUAGGAACCCUCCGUUUUCUUCCCUUUAUUCUCUUCCAUCUUCCUUUUCCUAAGACUCAUCCCACUGUCCAUUCUUCAGAGGCUUCAAGGUGCUCUUUGACUUUUCUCUGUAGCUAGGCCAUGGGACUUUUAGGUGUCACCCACCGUCCCACCCACUCACUUGCCUCUUGACAGUGCACCAGCUGAAGCACAACUAUGUGUUGGGGAGAUAUGUAAGGAGAAAUGUGAGAUAAAUAAAGCGUUAAAGAAAUAUUGCCCCUAAUAAAGCGUUAAAGAAAAAUUAUCCUGAUAUCUGUGAAAAACAGCAAUGAAGACUAUUCAAGACUGUUGCAAUAAGAGUCAAGAUUAUUGCAAUAGGUGAGAGGAUUGAAACCCAAUUAUAUCAGGGAUAAGGGAGGAUUUACAGCCAAUGAGCAGGGUGGGGGAGUGGAUGGAAAAUUACCUAGAGGAACUUGAUUAGGUGGAGGAAGAGGAGCUUGAUUGGAUGUUGAGGGUGAGAGAAUCUCAGUAAAUGGACUUAACAAGAUUCAUUGCUAAAACUGGGCUCAGCAGGUCAAGGGCAAGGCCUAGUUGAGAAGAGGGCUUAAGGGAACCUGACUAAAGUUUGGUCAAGGAGGGAGUCUUUGUCAGCACUCACAAAGUCAUGUGAGAGUCAGGACCCAAACGCAGGACCCAAGGUGCUACGAGGCAGUGAUGUGCCAGCCAUGGCAUGACUGGAGCUUGGAGAGGAGCCAGUGGAUCUAUCUGGUUUAUUCCAUUCCCUGGCUUCAGGGCUGACUGGCGGACAGUCACACUGGCUUCAUCUCAGGUUCAUUCAUUUCUCACUGCUCUGUGAUAUACCAUACUCUUCUUCUACUUCAUACUUUGAAGCUUGAAUUUCCAGGAUUUGAUAAGAAAGACUGAAAAGCAUAAGCAGACUGAAAAGUGCCAAGGCUUUAUCUAGACCUUGGACAAGAACUUCAACCUCAUGUUUCUUGUUUGCAAUAUUGGGGCAAUACUUGUUACAGAUUGAAUCGCAUCCCCCAAGAAUUCAUUUAUUGGCUUAACCUGCGGUAUGACUGUAUUUGGAAACAGGGCCUCUAAGAAGGUUAACAGUUAAAUGAGAUCAUAGAAGGUGGGGCCCUAAUCUGAUAGAACUGGUGUCCUUGUAAGAAGAGGAAGAGAUACCAGAGAUCUUUUCCUCUGUGCACACACAGAGGAAAGGCCAUGCAAAGACGUAGUGAGAAGGUGGCCGUCUGCAAGCUGGGAAGGGAGGUUUUACCAGCAACAACAUUUUCUGGCAUGUUGACCUUAGACUUCUUGCCUCCAGAACUGUGAGAAAAUAAAAGUGUCUGUGGUUUAAGCCGUCCAGUCUGUGGUAUUUGUGAUGGCAGCCUGAGCACACUAGUACAAUACCUAUCCUGUGGGUUUAUGAUGAGAACUAAACAUAAGGUAAGUUGAGGACCUAACUGCAAUUCACACAUGUUGGCUUGUCUCCCUUUCCUCCUGUCAUGUGAUUUGUGGGGUGUUAAGGGUCUUUUGCCAGCAGACACCUUCCUUGUGACCGACCAUAUGAUGGUGUGAAAAAUUCACACGGUAGAAGCAUUCUUUUGGCUUCAGCUUUGCUUCUCUGUGUUGCAAGGAACAGAACCUUCACAGAUUAGUAUAAACUAAAAGGGGGAAUUUUCUGAAAGCAUGUUAUUAUCAGUUAGGAUUCCUGGUUUCAAGCCGUGUACAUGAAUUGGCUGGUUUAGGCCAAAAAGGAACUAUUGAAAGGAUAUAGACUGGGGUACAGGAUUGGAGGGAAGGAUGGAGGAUCAGAUGUGGAGCCUGCCAGCAAAAGGGCCAAACAUCACACCUUAGAAUGGGGGGUGGGGACUGCAAGGCUGUGCUGCUGGGCGCCGGCUGCUGCUGCUCGCUCCUCUGACCCCGUGAACACCGGCCUGCUCUGACAUUGCUGGGCUAGACUCUUCUGUGACCGAGUCCUCCACACCCAUGUGCCCUGUGGUCUCUGUGGUUCUGGAGUGCUGCUGUCUCCUUGGCUGAGCUUAGAUCAUGAACACUGGCAUUUUCAGCACAGAGUGGGAGGCAACCCUGCCUCCUUUCAAGAUUCAUAAGGCGGGGAACUUCCCCAAACAAUUAAAAGCAGGCUCAAAAUGCCAGAUGGUCAAAAAGAAUAACAAAUUCCCCCACAGAUACAGGGAAACCUUUCAGAGCCCCCACAUAGGAAGUGCAGCUUCACUCAUAGGAGUGAGAACAAAGAAUUGGAAAGCCGACGGCUGGUCACUGCAUCUGUCUGCCCCUGUCUGUCUCUGUGUCUCUGUCUUUCUCUCUGUCCUGUGUUUUCCAGCUCCACUUGCUGAAGGUAAGGCCCACCUCUGUCCUGACCGGAAGAAGUUAGCUGUCUCCCUUAGAACAUCUUUUUCCUCAUCUUCUGCAAAUGCUUCUCAAUUCUCCUUGGAGAUCCCCUCCUCUGUCCGUUUUUGGUCUGGGUGGGCUCCAUUCUCAGCCCUUGGGAUGGGCCAUAGGGCCCCGUCCGAAACCAAUCAGCACACUGUGUGCCCUUGGCUGCAGGAGUGAGCAUGUGACCUAAAACAGCCUGGAUUUCUCCCCCCUCUUUUUUAUUGAACUCUAACUUACCUGUUGCAAAGUGCACAAAGUGUACACCUCAAUUUUACAUAAAAUCCAUUGUAUACACCUGUGGAAUCAUUACUGAGACUGAGAUACUGGUCAUUUCCAUCAGUCCAGCAACUAACUCCCCUUGUAGUCCUUCUCUGUAAUACUCCACUCGAAGAUAAUCACUAUUCCAACUUCAGUUCCCGUUAAUGGAAAUUUUACCCAUUUUUGAAUUCUGUGUGAAUGGAAUAAUAUGUAAUCUUUGGCGGCUGGCUGUUGGUCUUUCUCUUAUUGACUUACGGCAAUUCUUUAUUUUGGAUAUGAGUCCUUUGCUAAAUAUAUAUUGCAAAUAUGUUUUCUUAGCCCGUAGUUGCAUUUUGACUCUCUUAAGGAUGUCUUUUUAGGAAUAUUAGUUCAAAUUGUUAGUCUUGUCUACGGUUAAUGCUUUUAAUUUGUUCUAUUUAGAAAUAGAAAAUCUUUUAAUGCUUUUCAUUUGAUCUAUUUAGAAAAUCUUUGCACACUCUGAGAUCAUGCGCAAGUUACUUUGAGGGACGGAGAAGUAAAAGGUUUUUGUUGCAUCUGAGAUUGUGAGGCAGUGAGGUUGAGCCAGAAAUGGAGACAGAAAACAGAAAAACUUGCAGGGCUGGCCUUGAGAUGGGGCACUGUCACCAGGGGAGUCUGAGCUUUGCAGGAACUGUCUGUUUGCUGUAGUUAUGGCUGAAAUCAGAGGCAGGUCAAGUGGAUGAGACGUGGGGCAGUUGACCUCAGAAGAGAUUCCUUUAACUAGUUCCUUUUUUUUUUUUCUUGAGACGGAGUCUCGCUCUAUUGCCAGGCUGGAGUGCAAUGGCACCAUCUUGGCUCACUGCAACCUCCACCUCCCGGGUUCAAGCAAUUCUCCUGCCUUAGCCUCCCGAGUAACUGGGAUUACAGGCGCCCGCCACCACGCCUGGUUACUUUUUUACAUCUUUAAUAGAGACAGGGUUUCACCAUGUUGGCCAGGCUGGUCUUGAACUCCUGACCUCAUGGUUUGCCCGCCUCGGCUUCCCAAAGUGCUGGGAUUACAGGCGUGAGCCACCAUGCCCGGCCAACUAUUUCCUUUUUAAAAAAUUUUUAUUUUUAUUUUUUGAGA
rnacentral:lncRNA from 1 species